GUGGGGAAUUUUGGACAAUGGGCGAAAGCCUGAUCCAGCAAUGCCGCGUGUGUGAAGAAGGCCUUCGGGUUGUAAAGCACUUUUGUUGGGGAAGAAAACCUGUUGGUUAAUACCCGAUGGGAAUGACGGUACCCAAAGAAUAAGCACCGGCUAACUUCGUGCCAGCAGCCGCGGUAAUACGAAGGGUGCAAGCGUUACUCGGAAUUACUGGGCGUACAGCGUGCGUAGGUGGCUCGUUAAGUCUGACGUGAAAGCCCCGGGCUCAACCUGGGAAUUGCGGUGGGUACUGGCGGACUAGAGUGCGGUAGAGGGUGGUGGAAUUCCCGGUGUAGCAGUGAAAUGCGUAGAGAUCGGGAGGAACAUCUGUGGCGAAGGCGGCCACCUGGACCAGCACUGACACUGAGGCACGAAAGCGUGGGGAGCAAACAGGAUUAGAUACCCCGGUAGUCC
rnacentral:rRNA from 1 species